rnacentral:rRNA from 1 species
AGUGAACGCUGGCGGCAUGCCUAACACAUGCAAGUCGAACGAAGGCUUCGGCCUUAGUGGCGCACGGGUGCGUAACGCGUGGGAAUCUGCCCUUGGGUUCGGAAUAACUCAGAGAAAUUUGAGCUAAUACCGGAUGAUGACGUAAGUCCAAAGAUUUAUCGCCCAAGGAUGAGCCCGCGUAAGAUUAGCUAGUUGGUGGGGUAAAGGCCUACCAAGGCGACGAUCUUUAGCUGGUCUGAGAGGAUGAUCAGCCACACUGGGACUGAGACACGGCCCAGACUCCUACGGGAGGCAGCAGUGGGGAAUAUUGGACAAUGGGCGCAAGCCUGAUCCAGCAAUGCCGCGUGGAUGAAGAAGGUCUUCGGAUUGUAAAGUCCUUUCGACGGGGACGAUGAUGACGGUACCCGUAGAAGAAGCCCCGGCUAACUCCGUG